rnacentral:rRNA from 1 species
GACGAACGCUGGCGGCAGGCUUAACACAUGCAAGUCGAGCGCCCCGCAAGGGGAGCGGCAGACGGGUGAGUAACGCGUGGGAAUCUACCGAGCCCUAAGGAAUAGCUCCGGGAAACUGGAAUUAAUACCUUAUACGCCCUUUGGGGGAAAGAUUUAUCGGGGUUUGAUGAGCCCGCGUUGGAUUAGCUAGUUGGUGGGGUAAAGGCCUACCAAGGCGACGAUCCAUAGCUGGUCUGAGAGGAUGAUCAGCCACAUUGGGACUGAGACACGGCCCAAACUCCUACGGGAGGCAGCAGUGGGGAAUAUUGGACAAUGGGCGCAAGCCUGAUCCAGCCAUGCCGCGUGAGUGAUGAAGGCCCUAGGGUUGUAAAGCUCUUUCACCGGUGAAGAUAAUGACGGUAACCGGAGAAGAAGCCCCGGCUAACUUCGUGCCAGCAGCCGCGGUAACAC